rnacentral:tRNA from 1 species
UUAUUUAGUUUAUAGUUAAAACAAGUAUUUUGAAAGUACUAGAGAGAAAGAUUCUAAUAAUUA